AACGUAGGUGGCGAGCGUUAUCCGGAUUUACUGGGCGUAAAGCGCCCGUAGGCGGCCUGACAAGUUGGACGUGAAAGCUCCUGGCUUAACUGGGAGAGGCCGUUCAAAACUGUCAAGCUAGAGUCUGGAAGAGGAGAGCGGAAUUCCCGGUGUAGUGGUGGAAUGCGUAGAGAUCGGGAGGAACACCAGUGGCGAAAGCGGCUCUCUGGUCCAAAACUGACGCUGAGGGGCGAAAGCGUGGGGAGCGAACGGG
rnacentral:rRNA from 1 species